rnacentral:rRNA from 1 species
GGAUGAACGCUAGCGGCGCGCUUAAUGCAUGCAAGUCGAGCGAUGAGGCUCCCUUCGGGGAGUACAUCAGCGGCAGACGGGUGAGUUACACGUAGAUAACCUACCCUCAAGACGGGGAUAACCGGUGGAAACAGCGGCUAAUACCCGAUAUGCUCACAGUUUCGGGAGAAGGAGUUAGGAAAGGCUGAGGUGCUUUAGGAGGGGUCUGCGGCCCAUCAGCUAGUUGGUGAGGUAACGGCUCACCAAGGCGAAGACGGGGUAGGGGGUGUGAGAGCACGACCCCCCACAAUGGGACUGCGACACGGCCCAUACUCCUACGGGAGGCAGCAGCAGGGAAUAUUGCGCAAUGGACGGAAGUCAGACGCAGCGACGCCGCGUGGGUGAUGAAGGCCUUCGGGUUGUAAAGCCCUUUUCUGAGGGAAGAGAACGGACGGUACCUUGGGAAUAAGCGUCGGCUAACUACGUGCCAGCAGCCGCGGUAAGACGUAGGACGCGAGCGUUAUCCGGAUUUACUGGGCGUAAAGCCCUGUAGGCGGUUAGAUAAGUCGGUUGUGAAAGCCCCGUGCUCAACGCGGGGAGGCCAAGCGAUACUGCGUGACUUGAGGGCGGAAGAGGGGAGUGGAAUUCCCGGUGUAGCGGUAAAAUGCGCAGAUAUCGGGAGGAACACCAGUGGCGAAGGCGGCUCCCUGGACCGCACCUGACGCUCAGAGGCGAAAGCUAGGGGAGCGAACAGGAUUCGAUACCCUGGUAGUC